GCCUGAAUCAGUGUGUGUGUUAGUGGAAGCGUCUGGAAAGGCGCGCGAUACAGGGUGACAGCCCCGUACACAAAAAUGCACAUGCUGUGAGCUCGAUGAGUAGGGCGGGACACGUGGUAUCCUGUCUGAAUAUGGGGGGACCAUCCUCCAAGGCUAAAUACUCCUGACUGACCGAUAGUGAACCAGUACCGUGAGGGAAAGGCGAAAAGAACCCCGGCGAGGGGAGUGAAAAAGAACCUGAAACCGUGUACGUACAAGCAGUGGGAGCACGCUUCGGCGUGUGACUGCGUACCUUUUGUAUAAUGGGUCAGCGACUUAUAUUCUGUAGCAAGGUUAACCGAAUAGGGGAGCCGAAGGGAAACCGAGUCUUAACUGGGCGUUAAGUUGCAGGGUAUAGACCCGAAACCCGGUGAUCUAGCCAUGGGCAGGUUGAAGGUUGGGUAACACUAACUGGAGGACCGAACCGACUAAUGUUGAAAAAUUAGCGGAUGACUUGUGGCUGGGGGUGAAAGGCCAAUCAAACCGGGAGAUAGCUGGUUCUCCCCGAAAGCUAUUUAGGUAGCGCCUCGUGAAUUCAUCUCCGGGGGUAGAGCACUGUUUCGGCAAGGGGGUCAUCCCGACUUACCAACCCGAUGCAAACUGCGAAUACCGGAGAAUGUUAUCACGGGAGACACACGGCGGGUGCUAACGUCCGUCGUGAAGAGGGAAACAACCCAGACCGCCAGCUAAGGUCCCAAAGUCAUGGUUAAGUGGGAAACGAUGUGGGAAGGCCCAGACAGCCAGGAUGUUGGCUUAGAAGCAGCCAUCAUUUAAAGAAAGCGUAAUAGCUCACUGGUCGAGUCGGCCUGCGCGGAAGAUGUAACGGGGCUAAACCAUGCACCGAAGCUGCGGCAGCGACACUAUGUGUUGUUGGGUAGGGGAGCGUUCUGUAAGCCUGUGAAGGUGUGCUGUGAGGCAUGCUGGAGGUAUCAGAAGUGCGAAUGCUGACAUAAGUAACGAUAAAGCGGGUGAAAAGCCCGCUCGCCGGAAGACCAAGGGUUCCUGUCCAACGUUAAUCGGGGCAGGGUGAGUCGACCCCUAAGGCGAGGCCGAAAGGCGUAGUCGAUGGGAAACAGGUUAAUAUUCCUGUACUUGGUGUUACUGCGAAGGGGGGACGGAGAAGGCUAUGUUGGCCGGGCGACGGUUGUCCCGGUUUAAGCGUGUAGGCUGGUUUUCCAGGCAAAUCCGGAAAAUCAAGGCUGAGGCGUGAUGACGAGGCACUACGGUGCUGAAGCAACAAAUGCCCUGCUUCCAGGAAAAGCCUCUAAGCAUCAGGUAACAUCAAAUCGUACCCCAAACCGACACAGGUGGUCAGGUAGAGAAUACCAAGGCGCUUGAGAGAACUCGGGUGAAGGAACUAGGCAAAAUGGUGCCGUAACUUCGGGAGAAGGCACGCUGAUAUGUAGGUGAAGUCCCUUGCGGAUGGAGCUGAAAUCAGUCGAAGAUACCAGCUGGCUGCAACUGUUUAUUAAAAACACAGCACUGUGCAAACACGAAAGUGGACGUAUACGGUGUGACGCCUGCCCGGUGCCGGAAGGUUAAUUGAUGGGGUUAGCCGCAAGGCGAAGCUCUUGAUCGAAGCCCCGGUAAACGGCGGCCGUAACUAUAACGGUCCUAAGGUAGCGAAAUUCCUUGUCGGGUAAGUUCCGACCUGCACGAAUGGCGUAAUGAUGGCCAGGCUGUCUCCACCCGAGACUCAGUGAAAUUGAACUCGCUGUGAAGAUGCAGUGUACCCGCGGCAAGACGGAAAGACCCCGUGAACCUUUACUAUAGCUUGACACUGAACAUUGAGCCUUGAUGUGUAGGAUAGGUGGGAGGCUUUGAAGUGUGGACGCCAGUCUGCAUGGAGCCGACCUUGAAAUACCACCCUUUAAUGUUUGAUGUUCUAACGUUGACCCGUAAUCCGGGUUGCGGACAGUGUCUGGUGGGUAGUUUGACUGGGGCGGUCUCCUCCUAAAGAGUAACGGAGGAGCACGAAGGUUGGCUAAUCCUGGUCGGACAUCAGGAGGUUAGUGCAAUGGCAUAAGCCAGCUUGACUGCGAGCGUGACGGCGCGAGCAGGUGCGAAAGCAGGUCAUAGUGAUCCGGUGGUUCUGAAUGGAAGGGCCAUCGCUCAACGGAUAAAAGGUACUCCGGGGAUAACAGGCUGAUACCGCCCAAGAGUUCAUAUCGACGGCGGUGUUUGGCACCUCGAUGUCGGCUCAUCACAUCCUGGGGCUGAAGUAGGUCCCAAGGGUAUGGCUGUUCGCCAUUUAAAGUGGUACGCGAGCUGGGUUUAGAACGUCGUGAGACAGUUCGGUCCCUAUCUGCCGUGGGCGCUGGAGAACUGAGGGGGGCUGCUCCUAGUACGAGAGGACCGGAGUGGACGCAUCACUGGUGUUCGGGUUGUCAUGCCAAUGGCACUGCCCGGUAGCUAAAUGCGGAAGAGAUAAGUGCUGAAAGCAUCUAAGCACGAAACUUGCCCCGAGAUGAGUUCU
rnacentral:rRNA from 1 species